CACAUGUGCUCUGCAGUGACAUAUUACCGUGUUGAUAGAUAUUGUGUGCGUUUAUUGUGUGCUUAUCGUACUUCACAUUCGUCGACUGGAUAUUUUGCGCGUUUCGGAACGUCCUCCCGCAUUGAUCAAGUGGGGGAUGAUGCAUCGUCGUUCGUCGCCACUCAGAACAGCCUCAUCGGACGCGCAGCUUUGUCUCCGCGCUCAAAAAUGCUUUCUUGCUUCGUUUAUCGAUUACCCACGUUAAUCGCGUGAUUCAAUAUCGAGUGUACCUCCAAAGACAAUCCACUUCCCAGUGUUGUGACAAGCGGCGACCGCGGUUGUACAGGAGCGGAAGCGUGAGCCUUUUGACGAGCGACUGUGAAGAAUGCAAAGCCAGUGCCAAACUUCGGAAUCGAUAGCACGGGCGGCGUGUUGGCACAGCGAGGAUGAGAACGAGAGACCCGAUAGACAGCGAUGACAGCUGUUCACGGCACCGACACAGAGGACAUAUUGCAGUGCAAGAUAGGAGCGGUCUUCCUGCAAGCCCAGACAAGCCAUAUUGAGUGGUUUCAAAUACAGCAACUGUACCACCACGACAGUGCAGCACAAGAGACCCUAUCGUCAGUGCUGAGCCAGAAAUUAAAUAGAAAAGCGCUUUCUCCUGAAAUCUUUCGUCUGGUCUUAUUUCGUUUGUUUGUGAUUGUAAAAGA